ACAGCAAAUAUAUUUUAGGCCAUUUUUAGUAUAUUUUGAAAUUUAUUUAAAAUGAUAUAUAUUAUUUUGCCAUAUGUGGCAGCGUGUGUAUUCCCUGCGUUCGAACCCAUGACCUUUUGCACUUCUAAUGCAAUGUUGUAUUUGAGGACUUUUAGCAUAAGAUAUGAUCUAAUGUGUAAAUGCAGAUAUUUAACAUUAUUCCACUGGACACUAGUGGUAGAAAAUUGUAAAUAUCCUAAUAAAUAAUGUUAUUAAAGAGUUGUUAAAGACAGAAAUAAAGAUAUAGGCCUCGGGGCAGCAAUAAAUCUCUGUUAUUAUUCCUAGAAGUGCGGACACAGGUGUCUCUAUGGAAAACUGUAGAUCUGACUCAUGCCGGGAAUUGGAAACUCGUUGGAAGUUCCACUCCUUCUUGGCUCGUUCUCCCGUUGAUCAGAAAUAGUCCAACAGGACCUAUUUUUGCCCCGUCUGUAGCAGUGUGGGGGUAAACUCACACUCGCUCACCCUGACUACAGCGUAUUUAUAGAGCUGGACGUCUCUUUUGUGGAGUCACAGGAGUUAUAGUUGGGAUCAGCUGAUGCAAACGUAAUGGAGUUAAUGACGGGUCAAGAUCAUAUAUUGAGAUCUUUUGGAUAUGCAGAUCUUUCUCGCUCUGUUGGGAUAAAGACCCCAGAACCCUAAACUCAAUCGCUUGUUUCCAGGGAGAUCUCUGGCUUUGAGGUGUCGAAGCGAGGAUGUCCGAAACAACUCCAGGGUGAUGUUAAACUCUCAGGAAGCACGCCGGCUUAUCCAACAUGCCUGCGGUGGAGAUAAACACCUGCCAGACAUCAACAUACUGACGACUGCAGAGAUGAAGACCCCUGCUGAUGGAGAUCUGGCACGGCACCAUCACAGCAUUCAGAUGGCCUUCAUGCACCUGCCGAUAAACAGUUAUAUACACAAGCAUUUUUUCCAUGUAUGAUUAUUACAAAUGGGAAACCCAGGGGUUUUAUUUAGCAUCGAAGGCAUUUUGCUCUUAAUAUAGAUAUAUUAAUACUGUAUGAGCUGUGGCAUGUGAAGUUCAAUCUGUCACAUACGCUCCUGUGUCAAAACAAGAAUCUUAAAGAGUUUGUCAUGCCAGUCAUGAUCCACAUUGUAAACUUUUAUAUAAUAUAAUGAACUUUAAAUAUAAAAAAAUUAUUUUCAGUACUAUUUUAGCUCCACAAAAGCUCAAUCACACAUGCGUCUUUGUCAACACGACUUUACUUGAUGAAGGCCACGUGUCGGUCAAAAUGUUGUAAUGUAAAUUAAAGUAGUCAAAAAUAGCAGUGUGCCCAUCCUACUGUUUAUUAAGCUUUGAUAGUUUUUAUUUUUGGGCUUCUGCUGAUUUUUUGGGAUGUAUGUGCAUGUCUUUGAAUGAAUGUAUUUUUAUUUUCAGCUUAACCCUUAGGUUACAUUACAGCUCUUUUCAUUUUGGGAUUCAUUUUUAAAAUGACGUUGUCCUGACGCGUUCCUACAGUCCAAUUCUUUCAUUUUAUAAACAACAUUGACAUUUGUGACCCUGGACCUGUAAGUUGCAUGGGUAUAUUUGUAGCAAUAGCCUACAAUACAUUGUGUGGGUCUCUUUCAUGCCAAAAUCAUUAGGAUAGUAUCAUGUAUCAUGAAGAUAUUUUGUAAUUUCCUAACGUAAAUAUAUCAGAAAUGUAUUUAUCAUUAUUAAUAUGUGUUGUUAAGGACUUUAAAGGUGAUUUUCUUAAUAUUUAGAUUUUUUGGCCCCCUUAGAUUCCAGAUUUUUAAAUAGCAAAAUAUUGGCCCAUCCUAACAAACCACGCAUCAAUGGAAAGCUUAUUUAUAUAAUACAUUUUUAAAAAUUACCUAUAUGACUAAAUUACUCUUAUGACGUAAACUAACUAAAACUAACUCAUGCAU